GUACACACCGCCCGUCGCUACUACCGAUUGAAUGGUUAUAGUGAGCAUAUGGGAUCAGUAGAAUUAGGUUGGCAACAACCUUUCUCUGCAGAGAACUAUGGCAAACUAGGCUAUUUAGAGGAAGUAAAAGUCGUAACAAGGUUUCCGUAGGUGAACCUGCAGAAGGAUCA
rnacentral:rRNA from 1 species